rnacentral:lncRNA from 1 species
GACCAAUCAAGAAGUUUAUGGGUUAAUUUAAGUAUACAUAUGUACAAUUAAUAAGUUUUAGAUUUAAAAAAAUUAUACAAAACUUUAAGGACCAAAAGUGCAAAAAACCCCAAAAGUGGCCAUUGAUAUUCUUGAGCCUCUACAGUGUCAUGACGGCGAGAGACCUGAGGUCGCGACGCCAGGAAAUUUGUUGAUACGCAAUGGAAGAGAUGACUUGAUGAAUCAACACAUCGGAGGAGAUGACAAAGAAGACUACGACAGAUUUGGGCCCUCGCCGAGAUAUGAGAAGACGGGUGGCGUUUGUGGCAAGAGCUUUGUUCAUAUCAACACCGUCUUCAGGUGAGGACGGUGCAACAAGAAUCCGACAAAAUGACUGUAGAAAGACCACGAUGACCGUUCAGUUUCUUCAUCUUCUUUUGCCAUUAAAGACAUUAUUUUCUAGAUUUUU